UAUUCAGCAUGAGCGUCAAAAAGAGUUUGAAGAUAGGAGCCAGGAGUUGCAGCAUCUGAAGCAGUUGGUGUCCCAAUACCAGGAACAGUUGAGAGCCUUGGAGGUGAACAACUAUGCAUUGACGAUGCACCUGGAGCAAGCUCAGCAAAGCAGCUCAAUCCCGGGUCGUUUCCACCCAGACGUCUUCUAGCAAAAUCCCUCAUCUCUCAUUUAGUAGGAUAAGAAUCUAUUGCAUUGCCAGUAUUUGCAUUCAUAUGGUGCUCGACUGCAAAAAUGGAUUUUUAUUUUCCCUUGUGCUGUGAACUAAUGGCAGACUGUAUUUGAAAGACCAAUUUAGGCUCUUUCAAAUACACUGUCAAGUUAUUGUCUGACUUUAGUUUGAAAUGUGCUUUAUGUUCUCAAAAAUUGUAGGUUUCAUAUAUAUGCAAAGGUUAUGACAAUAAUUUGUAUGCAUUGAUUUAUAUCG
rnacentral:misc_RNA from 1 species